GACGAACGCUGGCGGCGUGCUUAACACAUGCAAGUCGAACGGUGAUGCUCCAGCUUGCUGGAGUGGAUCAGUGGCGAACGGGUGAGUAACACGUGAGCAACCUGCCCCAGACUCUGGAAUAAGCGCUGGAAACGGCGUCUAAUACUGGAUACGAAACUGGCCCGCAUGGGCAUGGUUUGGAAAGUUUUUCGGUUUGGGAUGGGCUCGCGGCCUAUCAGCUUGUUGGUGAGGUAAUGGCUCACCAAGGCGACGACGGGUAGCCGGACUGAGAGGGCGACCGGCCACACUGGGACUGAGACACGGCCCAGACUCCUACGGGAGGCAGCAGUGGGGAAUAUUGCACAAUGGGCGAAAGCCUGAUGCAGCGACGCCGCGUGAGGGAUGACGGCCUUCGGGUUGUAAACCUCUUUCAGCAGGGAAGAAGCGAAAGUGACGGUACCUGCAGAAGAAGCACCGGCUAACUACGUG
rnacentral:rRNA from 1 species